GACGAACGCUGGCGGCGUGCCUAAUACAUGCAAGUAGAACGCAGUUGCGAACGGGUUAGUAAGGCGUAGGUAACUGCCUGGUAGCGGGGGAUAACUAUUGGAAACGAUAGCUAAUACCGCAUACUACCAGAUGGACCUGCGUUGUAUUAGCUAGUUGGUGAGGUAACGGCUCACCAAGGCAACGAUACAUAGCCGAGCCGAGAGGGUGGACGGCCAACCUGGGACUGGGGAACGGCCCAGAAUCCUUCGGGAGGCAGCAGGAGGGAAUCAUCGGAAAUGGGGGGAAACCUGACCGAGCAACGCCGCGUGAUUGAAGAAGGUUUUCGGAUCGUAAAGCUCUGUUGUUAAGGAAGCGGUACUUAACCAGAAAGGGACGGCUAACUACGUGCCAGCAGCCGCGGUAAUUC
rnacentral:rRNA from 1 species